UACUGAGGUCUCAAGCGUUGUUCGGAUUCAUUGGGCGUAAAGGGUGCGUAGGCGGCGCGGUAAGUCGGGUGUGAAAUUUCGAGGCUUAACUUCGAAACCGCAUUCGAUACUGCCGUGCUAGAGGACUGGAGAGGAGACUGGAAUUUACGGUGUAGCGGUGAAAUGCGUAGAUAUCGUAAGGAAGACCAGUGGCGAAGGCGGGUCUCUGGACAGUUCCUGACGCUGAGGCACGAAGGCCAGGGGAGCAAACGGG
rnacentral:rRNA from 1 species